UACGUAGGGUGCAAGCGUUGUCCGGAAUUAUUGGGCGUAAAGGGCGCGUAGGCGGUUUGUACAGUCAGGUGUGAAAUUCCCGGGCUCAACCUGGGGGCUGCACUUGAUACGUAUGGACUGGAGUGGGGAAGAGGGUCGUGGAAUUCCCAGUGUAGAGGUGAAAUUCGUAGAUAUUGGGAAGAACACCGGUGGCGAAGGCGGCGACCUGGUCCUUGACUGACGCUGAGGCGCGAAAGCGUGGGGAGCAAACAGG
rnacentral:rRNA from 1 species